UCCCAUUCAUGCUUCUGACUUACUGAGUGA
rnacentral:piRNA from 1 species